AUUGAACGCUGGCGGCAGGCAUAACACAUGCCAGUAGAGCGGAGCGAGGGUGCUUGCACCUUAGCUUAGCGGCGGACGGGUGAGUAAUGCUUAGGAAUCUGCCUAUUAGUGGGGGACAACAUUCCGAAAGGAAUGCUAAUACCGCAUACGCCCUACGGGGGCAAGCAGGGGAUCUUCGGACCUUGAGCUAAUAGAUGAGCCUAAGUCGGAUUAGCGAGUUGGUGGGGUAAAGGCCUACCAAGGCGACGAUCUGUAGCGGGUCUGAGAGGAUGAUCCGCCACACUGGGACUGAGACACGGCCCAGACUCCUACGGGAGGCAGCAGUGGGGAAUAUUGGACAAUGGGCGGAAGCCUGAUCCAGCCAUGCCGCGUGUGUGAAGAAGGCCCUUUGGUUGUAAAGCACUUUAAGCGAGGAGGAGGCUACUAGUACUAAUACUACUGGAUAGUGGACGUUACUCGCAGAAUAAGCACCGGCUAACUCUGUGCCAGCCGCCGCCGUAAGAC
rnacentral:rRNA from 1 species